rnacentral:rRNA from 1 species
CGGGUAGCGGAACACGUACGCAACCUUCCUUUAACUGAGAAUAGCCCCUCGAAAGAGGGAUUAAUACUCCGUAACAUGAUGAUAAGGCAUCUUAUUAUUAUUAUAGCUCCGGCGGUUAGAGAUGGGCGUGCGCCUGAUUAGGUAGUUGGCGGGGUAACGGCCCACCAAGCCUGCGAUCAGUAACUGGUGUGAGAGCACGACCAGUCACACGGGCACUGAGACACGGGCCCG